UACGUAGGGCGCAAGCGUUGUCCGGAAUUAUUGGGCGUAAAGAGCUCGUAGGCGGUUUGUCGCGUCUGGUGUGAAAACUCAAGGCUCAACCUUGAGCUUGCAUCGGGUACGGGCAGACUAGAGUGUGGUAGGGGGUGACUGGAAUUCCUGGUGUAGCGGUGGAAUGCGCAGAUAUCAGGAGGAACACCGAUGGCGAAGGCAGGUCUCUGGGCAUUAACUGACGCUGAGGAGCGAAAGCAUGGGGAGCGAACAGG
rnacentral:rRNA from 1 species